CAGUCGCCACGGUAAUACGUAGGGUGCAAGCGUUAAUCGGAAUUACUGGGCGUAAAGCGUGCGCAGGCGGUUUGUUAAGACAGAUGUGAAAUCCCCGGGCUCAACCUGGGAACUGCAUUUGUGACUGGCAAGCUAGAGUGUGGCAGAGGGGGGUGGAAUUCCGCGUGCAGCAGUGAAAUGCGUAGAUAUGCGGAGGAACACCGAUGGCGAAGGCAGCCCCCUGGGCCAACACUGACGCUCAUGCACGAAAGCGUGGGGAGUAAACAGGAUUAGAUACCCGUGUAGUCCCUGUCUCUUAUAC
rnacentral:rRNA from 1 species